rnacentral:rRNA from 1 species
UACGUAGGUGGCUAGCGUUGUCCGGAUUUAUUGGGCGUAAAGCGAGCGCAGGCGGUUCCUUAAGUUUGGUGUGAAAGCCCCCGGCUCAACCGGGGAAGUUCAUUGGAAACUGGGGAACUUGAGUGCAGAAGAGGAGAGUGGAAUUCCAUGUGUAGCGGUGAAAUGCGUAGAUAUAUGGAGGAACACCAGUGGCAAAGGCGACUCUCUGGUCUGUAACUGACGCUGAGGCUCGAAAGCGUGGGGAGCAAACAGG